UGGGGAAUUGUUCGCAAUGGGCGCAAGCCUGACGACGCAACGCCGCGUGGAGGACGAAGAUCUUCGGAUCGUAAACUCCUGUCGAGCGGAACGAACGGCCCGUCACUGAAUAGGUGGCGGGAAUGACGGUACCGCGAGAGGAAGCCCCGGCUAACUCCGUGCCAGCAGCCGCGGUAAUACGGGGGGGGUCUAGCGUUGUUCGGAAUUACUGGGCGUAAAGGGCGCGUAGGCGGCCGCCUCAGUCGAACGUGAAAUCCCCGGGCUCAACCCGGGAACUGCGUCCGAUACUGGGUGGCUUGAAUCCGGGAGAGGGAUGCGGAAUUCCAGGUGUAGCGGUGAAAUGCGUAGAUAUCUGGAGGAACACCGGUGGCGAAGGCGGCAUCCUGGACCGGCAUUGAC
rnacentral:rRNA from 1 species